GGCGCGGGGAAACGCGGAAGUUCUUAAGGCGGGAGUAACCAAGUAACCCGACAAAGGCGGGAGUAACUAGGUAGCGGUGGGCAGUCCUAGUUCUAGAAGCGGGAGUAGCUAGGCAACGGUAGGCAGUCCUGACUUAAAGGGAAAUGUGCAUCUCUUUGGAGAAGUAGGCAGGAUAACAGAAACUUAAUGCUUAAGACGGCUACUAAUAUACAGUGGAGGCCCGAGGAGAGGCGCAGAGUGAGAGAAGAGCUCUGUUUCCGAUGGGCCCACGGUCACUGUGGUACCAGGAUCCCUCGAUGGAAGAAUCCUACCACUCCCAGCAAGUGCAGAAGGUCCACUCUGUCUGGGUGAGCAUCCAUUAGGGAACAGAUGCUCACGGGGGGAG
rnacentral:lncRNA from 1 species